rnacentral:antisense_RNA from 1 species
GGGUGCUCUUGGCUGUCUGCCAUGAGCAAAUCACCGUUUUGUAAGUGGUAGAUAAACGAAAGCCCCGAAUGAACUAUAAAUUCAAACGAGGCAACGUAUAUGUACAUAGCAAUACAAAUACUAGCCUCUUUACUGAUAGGAGGCAAUGACAAAUGCCAAAAAG